CAACAGCUAGUAGUUGAUCCUGGCUCAGGACGAACGCUGGCGGCGUGCCUAACACAUGCAAGUCGAACGGAGAUACGAGAGCUUGCUUUUGUAUCUUAGUGGCGGACGGGUGAGUAACGCGUGAGCAACCUGCCUUACAGAGGGGGAUAGCCAUUGGAAACGAUGGAUAAUACCGCAUAACGUAUUUUUACGGCAUCGUAGGAAUACCAAAGGAGCAAUCCGCUGUAAGAUGGGCUCGCGUCCGAUUAGAUAGUUGGCGGGGCAACGGCCCACCAAGUCGACGAUCGGUAGCCGGACUGAGAGGUUGAACGGCCACAUUGGGACUGAGACACGGCCCAGACUCCUACGGGAGGCAGCAGUGAGGGAUAUUGCACAAUGGGCGAAAGCCUGAUGCAGCAACGCCGCGUGAGGGAAGACGGUUUUCGGAUUGUAAACCUCUGUUCUAAGUGAAGAUAAUGACAUUAGCUUAGGAGAAAGCCACGGCUAACUACGUGCC
rnacentral:rRNA from 1 species